rnacentral:tRNA from 1 species
UGUCUCAUAGCUCAGUUGGUAGAGUGUCGCUCUGAUACGGCGGAAGUCGAAGGUUCAAACCCUUCUGAGACAA